rnacentral:rRNA from 1 species
GAUGAACGCUAGCGACAGGCCUAACACAUGCAAGUCGAGGGGCAGCACAUGAGUAGCAAUACGAUGGUGGCGACCGGCGCACGGGUGAGUAACACGUAUGCAACCUGCCUUCUACUAUGGGAUAACCCGUUGAAAGACGGACUAAUACCGCAUAAUACAGGGGCUCCGCAUGGAGAUAUUUGUUAAAGAUUUAUUGGUAGAAGAUGGGCAUGCGUAUGAUUAGAUAGUUGGUGAGGUAACGGCUCACCAAGUCAACGAUCAUUAGGGGUUCUGAGAGGAAGGUCCCCCAAACUGGUACUGAGACACGGACCAGACCGCUACGGGAGGCAGCAGUGAGGAAUAUUGGUCAAUGGACGAGAGUCUGAACCAGCCAAGUCGCGUGAAGGAAGACGGUUCUAUGAAUUGUAAACUUCUUUUGUGCAGGAAUAAAGUGGGUUACGUGUAACCUUUUGUAUGUACUGUACGAAUAAGGAUCGGCUAACGCCGUGCCAGCAGCCGCCGCAG